AGCAUAUCAAUAAGCGGAGGAAAAGAAACCAACAGGGAUUGCCCCAGUAACGGCGAGUGAAGCGGCAAUAGCUCAAAUUUGAAAUCUGGCCCCUUUGGGGUCCGAGUUGUAAUUUGCAGAGGGCGCUUUGGAGUUGGCUGCAGCCUAAGUUCCUUGGAACAGGUCAUCAUAGAGGGUGAGAAUCCCGUAUGUGGUUGCAUGCCUUCGCCGUGUAAAGCCCCUUCGAUGAGUCGAGUUGUUUGGGAAUGCAGCUCUAAAUGGGAGGUAAAUUUCUUCUAAAGCUAAAUAUUGGCCAGAGACCGAUAGCGCACAAGUAGAGUGAUCGAAAGAUGAAAAGCACUUUGGAAAGAGAGUCAAAAAGCACGUGAAAUUGUUGAAAGGGAAGCGCUUGCAGCCAGACUUGCCCGCAGUUGCUCAUCCGGGGUUCUCCCCGGUGUACUCUUCUGUGGGCAGGCCAGCAUCAGUUCGGGCGGUUGGAGAAAGACCUGUGUCAUGUAGCUGUUCUCGGGCAGUGUUAUAGGGCAGGUGGAAUGCAACCAGCUCGAACUGAGGUCCGCGCAUCUGCUAGGAUGCUGGCGUAAUGGCUGUAAGCGGCCCGUCUUGAAACACGGACCAAGGAGUCUAACAUCUAUGCGAGUGUUUGGGUGUCAAGCCCGAGCGCGUAAUGAAAGUGAACGGAGGUGGGAACCCCUCGGGGUGCACCAUCGACCGAUCCUGAUGUCUUCGGAUGGAUUUGAGUAAGAGCAUAGCUGUUGGGACCCGAAAGAUGGUGAACUAUGCCUGAAUAGGGUGAAGCCAGAGGAAACUCUGGUGGAGGCUCGCAGCGGUUCUGACGUGCAAAUCGAUCGUCAAAUUUGGGCAUAGGGGCGAAAGACUAAUCGAACUAUCUAGUAGCUGGUUCCUGCCGAAG
rnacentral:rRNA from 1 species